ensembl:misc_RNA Metazoa_SRP Metazoan signal recognition particle RNA
GCCGGGCGUGGUGGCGGGCGCCUGUAGUCCCAGCUACUCGGAGGCUGAGGCGGGAGAAUGGCGUGAGCCCGGGUGGUGGAGCUUGCAGUGAGCCGAGAUCGCGCCACUGCACUCCAGCCUGGGCGACAGAGCGAGACUCCGUCUCAA